UAUUAACUCUGGCGGCGUGCCUAAUACAUGCAAGUCGAGCGAACAGACGAGGAGCUUGCUCCUCUGACGUUAGCGGCGGACGGGUGAGUAACACGUGGAUAACCUACCUAUAAGACUGGGAUAACUUCGGGAAACCGGAGCUAAUACCGGAUAAUAUAUUGAACCGCAUGGUUCAAUAGUGAAAGACGGUUUUGCUGUCACUUAUAGAUGGAUCCGCGCCGCAUUAGCUAGUUGGUAAGGUAACGGCUUACCAAGGCAACGAUGCGUAGCCGACCUGAGAGGGUGAUCGGCCACACUGGAACUGAGACACGGUCCAGACUCCUACGGGAGGCAGCAGUAGGGAAUCUUCCGCAAUGGGCGAAAGCCUGACGGAGCAACGCCGCGUGAGUGAUGAAGGUCUUCGGAUCGUAAAACUCUGUUAUUAGGGAAGAACAAAUGUGUAAGUAACUAUGCACGUCUUGACGGUACCUAAUCAGAAAGCCACGGCUAACUACGUG
rnacentral:rRNA from 1 species